GACGAACGCUGGCGGCGUGCUUAACACAUGCAAGUCGAACGGUGAUGCGCCUUCCUUUUUGGUGGGUGUGGAUGAGUGGCGAACGGGUGAGUAACACGUGAGUAACCUGCCCCCUUCUUCUGGAUAACCGCAUGAAAGUGUGGCUAAUACGGGAUAUUCUGGGUCUGUCGCAUGAUGGGUCUGGGAAAGAUAUUGUUUCGGUGGGGGAUGGGCUCGCGGCCUAUCAGCUUGUUGGUGGGGUGAUGGCCUACCAAGGCGGUGACGGGUAGCCGGCCUGAGAGGGUGGACGGUCACACUGGGACUGAGACACGGCCCAGACUCCUACGGGAGGCAGCAGUGGGGAAUAUUGCACAAUGGGCGCAAGCCUGAUGCAGCGACGCCGCGUGAGGGAUGGAGGCCUUCGGGUUGUGAACCUCUUUCGCCAGUGAAGCAGGCCUGCCUCGUUUGUGGGUGGGUUGACGGUAGCUGGAUAAGAAGCGCCGGCUAACUACGUG
rnacentral:rRNA from 1 species